rnacentral:rRNA from 1 species
AGAGUUUGAUCCUGGCUCAGGAUGAACGCUGGCGGCGUGCCUAAUACAUGCAAGUCGAGCGAACGGACGAGAAGCUUGCUUCUCUGAUGUUAGCGGCGGACGGGUGAGUAACACGUGGAUAACCUACCUAUAAGACUGGGAUAACUUCGGGAAACCGGAGCUAAUACCGGAUAAUAUUUUGAACCGCAUGGUUCAAAAGUAAAAGACGGUCUUGCUGUCACUUAUAGAUGGAUCCGCGCUGCAUUAGCUAGUUGGUAAGGUAACGGCUUACCAAGGCAACGAUGCAUAGCCGACCUGAGAGGGUGAUCGGCCACACUGGAACUGAGACACGGUCCAGACUCCUACGGGAGGCAGCAGUAGGGAAUCUUCCGCAAUGGGCGAAAGCCUGACGGAGCAACGCCGCGUGAGUGAUGAAGGUCUUCGGAUCGUAAAACUCUGUUAUUAGGGAAGAACAUAUGUGUAAGUAACUGUGCACAUCUUGACGGUACCUAAUCAGAAAGCCACGGCUAACUACGUGCCAGCAGCCGCGGUAAUACGUAGGUGGCAAGCGUUAUCCGGAAUUAUUGGGCGUAAAGCGCGCGUAGGCGGUUUUUUAAGUCUGAUGUGAAAGCCCACGGCUCAACCGUGGAGGGUCAUUGGAAACUGGAAAACUUGAGUGCAGAAGAGGAAAGUGGAAUUCAAUGUGUAGCGGUGAAAUGCGCAGAGAUAUGGAGGAACACCAGUGGCGAAGGCGACUUUCUGGUCUGUAACUGACGCUGAUGUGCGAAAGCGUGGGGAUCAAACAGGAUUAGAUACCCUGGUAGUCCACGCCGUAAACGAUGAGUGCUAAGUGUUAGGGGGUUUCCGCCCCUUAGUGCUGCAGCUAACGCAUUAAGCACUCCGCCUGGGGAGUACGACCGCAAGGUUGAAACUCAAAGGAAUUGACGGGGACCCGCACAAGCGGUGGAGCAUGUGGUUUAAUUCGAAGCAACGCGAAGAACCUUACCAAAUCUUGACAUCCUUUGACAACUCUAGAGAUAGAGCCUUCCCCUUCGGGGGACAAAGUGACAGGUGGUGCAUGGUUGUCGUCAGCUCGUGUCGUGAGAUGUUGGGUUAAGUCCCGCAACGAGCGCAACCCUUAAGCUUAGUUGCCAUCAUUAAGUUGGGCACUCUAAGUUGACUGCCGGUGACAAACCGGAGGAAGGUGGGGAUGACGUCAAAUCAUCAUGCCCCUUAUGAUUUGGGCUACACACGUGCUACAAUGGACAAUACAAAGGGCAGCGAAACCGCGAGGUCAAGCAAAUCCCAUAAAGUUGUUCUCAGUUCGGAUUGUAGUCUGCAACUCGACUACAUGAAGCUGGAAUCGCUAGUAAUCGUAGAUCAGCAUGCUACGGUGAAUACGUUCCCGGGUCUUGUACACACCGCCCGUCACACCACGAGAGUUUGUAACACCCGAAGCCGGUGGAGUAACCUUUUAGGAGCUAGCCGUCGAAGGUGGGACAAAUGAUUGGGGUGAAGUCGUAACAAGGUAGCCGUAUCGGAAGGUGCGGCUGGAUCACCU